UGUCCCUGACCUGGGUAGAGCGGCACCUGGUUGGUGGUGCUUGUUUCAUAUCAGUCAGGGACAGAGCAACUCCUUGUUCAUCCCAGCUCGGCCUUUGGUCUGUGCCAUGUCUGGUUCAUGCCCUGGACACACGG
ensembl:snoRNA